rnacentral:siRNA from 1 species
GAAUCUUUGAUAGUGUUACUAUA